UGGAAGCUGCCCUGGGGCCAGGAACCAAUGCUUAAGCCUAAAAAUUUAGUUAUUCAACUGAGUUGGUGUUCUCAUCAGGAACCCAGCAGUCAAAACAAAGCACUGAAUUGAAUCCUGCUGGUUGCUGGAAUUUAGCAGUCGUGGAAGCCAGCUGGUGGCAGCAGAAGAGAUAUGACAGGAUGCACAGAGUAGCAACAAAGAAUGCCUCUUUCUAAGAGAUCAAGGUGCCAGCAAGCAGACUACUUUCUCUUCAGGCAGUGUUAG